rnacentral:lncRNA from 10 species
GGUGAGGGGGGAAGGGUGGUGCACAUCCCUACAGGGAGGGAGGAAGGACAGGGAGAAAGAGAGAAUGUUUCCCUUGCCCUUGCCCCUGCCCGUGGGUUUUCUCACCUGAAUGUCCACAAGUGGGUUGAAAGAUACUCAUUGUUGGCUGAAUUGUAUGAAAAGACUCCUAAGAAGUGCACCCUCCAAACUUGCCUCCUCUCAGUACCUCCUUAGUCAUAUGCAUUAUCUGAGUGUGGAAAUUCUGCCUUCUAGAACUGGGGAGGGAGACAGCAGGUAUCCUCCAGCUUGGAAGUGGCAAGAGCUUGGAUGUGAGGCCUACCGCAGCCUCAUCACUAACACUGCGGAAGCCAGCACCGGCCAACUGAUACAGUUUGGAUGUCUUCCCCCUCCAAAUCUCAUGUUGAAAUGCAAUCUCCAAUGUUGGGAUCCCCAAUGCAAUCCUGUCAGUAUUGGAGUGUGAAGACUUUUUGGAGAGGCUGACAGGGUCUCACCUGGAGGAGGGAGUGAAUCAUUCUUCCUCAAGGGACACGUCAAGAACUCAGUGCAGUGGUCAGGGUGAACGGUCAGUACCAUCAAGCCACCCUGGGGGAUCCUCUGGAGACCCUGAGCCAUUCUGGGGUGGCAUUGCUACAAUACCGCAAUGUACAGGGAGUGAGGCUUCUGGUAAUCAUCUUUGGGUAGCAGUGGGUCUAGGUUCCAAGGGGAAAAGGUGAAAACUUGUGCUUUGUUCUAUGUAAUAUUUAGCUUUGAACAGAAGAGAGACAUCAAGAAAGUGAAAGGGCAAGGUCCUAGACAAGAUGGGGUUGGAACAGAAAAUGAAUAAGGGAGAAGGAAGCAGGCAGAGACUGUGCAAGGUAAGGAUGAAGAAGAAAGGAGGUAAGAAGAAAACAAGUAGAGGUUGUCUUCUCUUUCUCCUUCUUCCUGAACUGAAGUAGAAAGGGAAAGUCUACUGAGACCUACUCACAUUAUUAAACAUGCCUCCAGCUCAUCCAUGUCUCCCCACCUCACCUACCAGUGAGUCUAUCCCCUCUGAGCCAUUGGGAAUAAGGCCCAUGUCCAUAUAGGCAAAACAAUGAGCAUUUCCACACUUGAAUGUGAGUGGUACGGAUGGAAAAUGAACAAGAUGGAUUGCUUCCUCUAGGAGACAGUUUCUCAACCAUGGCACUGCUGACAUUUUGUGCCAGACAAUUCUUUGUUGUUGCGGGGCCUUCCUGUGCACUAUAGGAUGUUUCGCAGCACCCUAGGCCUCUACCCACUAGAUGCCAGUAGAAUCACCAGUGUGAUAACCAAAAAUGUCUCUAGACGUUGCCAAAAUUGCCCCUGAUUGAAAACCGCUGCUCCAGAAGGCUAGGGCUACCUGUUUCCUGGAAUGAGUUUUAGAAAUAGUUACUCUGCCUUCCUGCAUCUUGAAGGAACUGCCUCACAACUAGCCUCAAUGUAUAUCCCACUCUCUGUCCCCAUGUCUGAUGAUCCAUUUCUAGAAGUACCGAGAGAGAGAAUUUGUAUAAACAUCAAGGGUGGAUGCUUUUCUUCUGCCUCUGAGGUCCACUCCCCAAACACCCCUGCAAAGUCUGGUAUAGACUAGGAGUAAAAAGCUCUAGUACUGGUCAGUGAGAAGCAGAAUCAUUGAGAAGGAUUCUGAGUCAGCAAAGCCUGGCUAUGGGGCCCCUCUGCCCUGGGGACAUGGAUCCCUCCAUCUUUUCUCUUCUUGUGCAAGCAGAAGCUGAAGACACCUGGCAGGCUGCAUCUACAUGUGUGCCUUUGAUCAGGCCCCCGUGGCCUUUGUUCCUCCGUUUUUCCAUCUACAAUGGAAGGGACUGGACUGAGAGACCUAUAAGGUUUCCACCCAACUCUGAUGAACCAUGUUCUGAGAGUUUAUGGCUCUGAGGUUAUAAUUAGAGAAAGCCUGAUCUUGAGGUGCAUUAAGGAUAUGCAGAGCAUGCUAUGAAUUCCCUCAUGGCUACCUUUUAAUUACCUGAAUUGAUAUAGGCAAGCAUUGCUAAUUUGAAAUGAAAAGAUAAAUCCAAAUCUAAUCUGGCUGGACAUCAAACGCAACAUGACUCUCUCUCUCUCUCUCUCUCAAACACACACACACACACAUCUGUAAUAGAAAGGGGACCUCCAAGACCUCAAGGAGAAGCCACACAUAGAAACAAUUCAUCGGUAAUUGAGAGUUGGCCAAACAUUUGGUCAUUUUUUAAUUUUUAAAUUUAAC